CCACCGUGGUGCAGCUCCCCACACCGUCAUAAAGGCACGCGUCUUUCCCCUUCUCGCACUUUCUUUUCACCUUGGUGGAGGAAUGUUGGUGUGGUUGGGUAGAGCUUGCGGCCUGCAUAUUCCCAUAACUCUUUCUGAGCCUAUUGGGCAAUUUGGAGAGAGAUUUACCAUGCAGGAAACAAAC
rnacentral:snoRNA from 1 species